rnacentral:rRNA from 1 species
CCUACGGGAGGCAGCAGUGGGGAAUAUUGCACAAUGGGGGAAACCCUGAUGCAGCGACGCCGCGUGAGUGAAGAAGCGCCUCGGCGCGUAAAGCUCUGUCAGCAGGAACGACGAUGACGGUACCUGAAGAAGAAGCCCCGGCUAACUACGUGCCAGCAGCCGCGGUAAUACGUAGGGGGCAAGCGUUAUCCGGAUUUACUGGGUUUAAGGGGUGCGCAGGCGGUCUGUUAAGUCAGCGGUCAAAGCCCGGGGCUCAACCCCGGCCCGCCGUUGAAACUGGCAGUCUCGAGUUGGAGAGAAGUAGGCGGAAUGCGCGGUGUAGCGGUGAAAUGCAUAGAUAUCGCGCAGAACUCCGAUUGCGAAGGCAGCAUGCCGGCUCCACACUGACGCUGAGGCACGAAAGCGUGGGUAUCGAACAGGAUUAGAUACCCGGGUAGUC